rnacentral:rRNA from 1 species
AUUGAACGCUGGCGGAAUGCUUUACACAUGCAAGUCGAACGGCAGCACGGGGGCAACCCUGGUGGCGAGUGGCGAACGGGUGAGUAAUACAUCGGGACGUGCCCAGUCGGGGGGGAUAACGUAGCGAAAGUUACGCUAAUACCGCAUACGAUCUACGGAUGAAAGCGGGGGACCGUAAGGCCUCGCGCGAUUGGAGCGGCCGAUGUCAGAUUAGGUAGUUGGUGAGGUAAAGGCUCACCAAGCCGACGAUCUGUAGCUGGUCUGAUAGGACGACCAGCCACCCUGGGAAUGAGACACGGCCCAGACUCCUACGGGAGGCAGCAGUGGGGAAUUUUGGACAAUGUGCGCAAGCCUGUUCCAGCCAUUCCGCGUGCAGGACGAAGGCCUUCGGGUGGUAAACUGCUUUUGUACGGAACGAAAAGGCUCUGGUUAAUACCUGGGGCUCAUGACGGUACCGUAAGAAUAAGCACCGGCUAACUACGUGCCAGCCGCCGCAGUAA